UGCGCACUGAUGCCCGAGGCGUCCUCGGUGGACCUUGGCGCGCCUCAGACAGCUGGCGAAGCUGCCGGGGAACCGAGAUGGCUGCCUGCACCAUGCCAGGCUGGGUGCCUUCGGAGAUCUGAAUUAGCGCCAGAUCAGCUCAGAAAUAACGCAUUGCCAUUUAAGACGCUGAGGACUGAGUGAUAUCACAGCAGUGAAGAAUGAAAUGAAGCCCCUGUCAGAAAUCGCUGUCACUCUGCGUAAAAACACUCAGACCUGAACUCCUGUCAGCUGUCGGGCUUCACAGAAACUGCAGCUCCUGCUUCCCAUUCUCAAUGGCAACCGCCAAGCCCUUACCAGUAGAGUCUGGAGUGAUUACUGGUGAAUGGUUAGAGUUUUCUCCGUAUAUUGAUUUUUGGAGCAGCUAGGUCUAGUUGUUUGUGUAUGCCUAAGAAGAAGGACCCUUGCUCUAAAAUACAUUAAAUCCAUUAAAAAUCA